rnacentral:rRNA from 1 species
GACGAACGCUGGCGGCGUGCUUAACACAUGCAAGUCGAGCGGUAAGGCCCUUUCGGGGGUACGACGAGCGGCGAACGGGUGAGUAACACGUGGGUGACCUGCCCUCCAGCUCUGGGAUAAGCCUGGGAAACCGGGUCUAAUACCGGAUAUGACUCCAUGACGCAUGUUGUGGGGUGGAAAGCCUUGUGCGGCUGAGGAUGGGCCCGCGGCCUAUCAGCUUGUUGGUGGGGUGAUGGCCUACCAAGGCGACGACGGUAGCCGGCCUGAGAGGGCGACCGGCCACACUGGGACUGAGACACGGCCCAGACUCCUACGGGAGGCAGCAGUGGGGAAUCUUGCGCAAUGGGCGAAAGCCUGACGCAGCGACGCCGCGU